AUUGUACUCCCUCCGUCUGGAAAUACUUGUCGAAGGAAUGGAUGUAUCUAGACAUAUUUUAGUUCAAGAUACAUCCAUUUUAAUGUGACAAGUAUUUCCGGACGGAGGGAGUACAUA
rfam:Triticum aestivum genome assembly, contig: Triticum_aestivum_CS42_TGACv1_scaffold_361204_4DS